rnacentral:rRNA from 1 species
GGAAACCUUACUAGGAUAAGACAUGAGAAGGAUUGACAGAUUGAUCGCUCUUUCUUGAUUUCAUGGGUGGUGGUGCAUGGCCGUUCUUAGUUCGUGGAUUAAUUUGUCUGGUUAAUUCCGUUAACGAACGAGACCUUAACUUGCUAAUUGGAGUUCGUUAUUUAUAUCAAACUCUGUUAGAAGGACCAUGUGUUUCUAAUGCAAGGAAGCGUGAGGCAAUAA